CCGUCAGCGAGGCCCUGGUCGGGCAUCAGGCGCAUGAGGAGCUGGGUGCGAUCUCCGCAGGUGUCCGCGGAUUCGUCGGCCGCCUCUCGCGUGCGACGCCUGCACCGGUCCUGCAGCACCUUCUGCUCCGCCUUCCACUGCUGCUGCCUCAGCACCUUUUCAUUGUACGUCACAUCCUCAGUCCCCUGCCACAGCGCCAGAUCCUCCCACUUCAGACAU
rnacentral:lncRNA from 1 species